rnacentral:rRNA from 1 species
GAUGAACGCUAGCUACAGGCUUAACACAUGCAAGUCGAGGGGCAGCAUGGUCUUAGCUUGCUAAGGCCGAUGGCGACCGGCGCACGGGUGAGUAACACGUAUCCAACCUGCCGUCUACUCUUGGACAGCCUUCUGAAAGGAAGAUUAAUACAAGAUGGCAUCAUGAGUCCGCAUGUUCACAUGAUUAAAGGUAUUCCGGUAGACGAUGGGGAUGCGUUCCAUUAGAUAGUAGGCGGGGUAACGGCCCACCUAGUCUUCGAUGGAUAGGGGUUCUGAGAGGAAGGUCCCCCACAUUGGAACUGAGACACGGUCCAAACUCCUACGGGAGGCAGCAGUGAGGAAUAUUGGUCAAUGGGCGAGAGCCUGAACCAGCCAAGUAGCGUGAAGGAUGACUGCCCUAUGGGUUGUAAACUUCUUUUAUAAAGGAAUAAAGUCGGGUAUGCAUACCCGUUUGCAUGUACUUUAUGAAUAAGGAUCGGCUAACUCCGUGCCAGCAGCCGCGGUAAUACGGAGGAUCCGAGCGUUAUCCGGAUUUAUUGGGUUUAAAGGGAGCGUAGAUGGAUGUUUAAGUCAGUUGUGAAAGUUUGCGGCUCAACCGUAAAAUUGCAGUUGAUACUGGAUAUCUUGAGUGCAGUUGAGGCAGGCGGAAUUCGUGGUGUAGCGGUGAAAUGCUUAGAUAUCACGAAGAACUCCGAUUGCGAAGGCAGCCUGCUAAGCUGCAACUGACAUUGAGGCUCGAAAGUGUGGGUAUCAAACAGGAUUAGAUACCCUGGUAGUCCACACGGUAAACGAUGAAUACUCGCUGUUUGCGAUAUACAGCAGGCGGCCAAGCGAAAGCGUUAAGUAUUCCACCUGGGGAGUACGCCGGCAACGGUGAAACUCAAAGGAAUUGACGGGGGCCCGCACAAGCGGAGGAACAUGUGGUUUAAUUCGAUGAUACGCGAGGAACCUUACCCGGGCUUAAAUUGCAGAUGAAUUACGGUGAAAGCCGUAAGCCGCAAGGCAUCUGUGAAGGUGCUGCAUGGUUGUCGUCAGCUCGUGCCGUGAGGUGUCGGCUUAAGUGCCAUAACGAGCGCAACCCUUGUUGUCAGUUACUAACAGGUUCCGCUGAGGACUCUGACAAGACUGCCAUCGUAAGAUGUGAGGAAGGUGGGGAUGACGUCAAAUCAGCACGGCCCUUACGUCCGGGGCUACACACGUGUUACAAUGGGGGGUACAGAGGGCCGCUACCACGCGAGUGGAUGCCAAUCCCAAAAACCUCUCUCAGUUCGGACUGGAGUCUGCAACCCGACUCCACGAAGCUGGAUUCGCUAGUAAUCGCGCAUCAGCCACGGCGCGGUGAAUACGUUCCCGGGCCU